AAAGACUACUGGGGGUGCCUUCGGGCUGAGAGAAGAGGUGUUCUUCAACUCCAACGACCUGAUCCGGAUCAUACCGGCGGAGGGAAGUAGCAAUCACUGACG
rnacentral:ncRNA from 2 species